CAGGAACUUGACUGACAUCUGUGCUUUGCCUGUGUGUAGAAGAAGAAGAACAAGGACCAGAUCUCCAGUCUUCUCUCUCACAUCCCAACCCCCCAACCCCUCUGUCCUCUGUCUUGCUCCACCUGUUGUCUCUGCCUUCUUUCCAUCUGUAUUUCACUCUGUGGUUUGUGAGAAAUUUUGCCAAACCAACAAUCCUUUUGCGGUUUGAUUUCAAAGCCGUGUCUCUCCUGCUCUGUCUGUUCUCUCUGCUAAAUUUUCUCUCUACCUGUUUUUCACUCUUGGCUUGCUGCUGAAAAACGCCAAGCCAACAAAACAAUAAAGAGUGCAUAUUUUGCCUCAACCUAUGAACAAACUGAACAAACAAAGAAAAAUCUGCGGUUUGAUUUCCAAGCCGUGUCUCUCCUGCUCUGCCUGUUCUCUCUUCUAAAUUUUCUCUCUACCUGUUUUUCACUCUUGGCUUGCUGCUGAAAAACGCCAAGCCAUUAAAGCAAUAAGGAGUGCAUAUAUUGCCUCUACCUGAGAACAAACAAAGAAAACUCUAAUUCACGGUUUGAUUGUGAUUUCCCAGCCAUGUCUCUCCUGCUCUGCCUGUUCUCUCUUCUAAAUUUUCUCUCUACCUGUUUUUCACUUUGCGCUUGCUGCUAAGUUGUGCCAAGCUAAUAAAGAGAGUGCAUAAUAUUCUCUUGACUGAAGAACAAACUGUCAAACGAAAGACAACUGUUUCUGACAAAUAAAAACUGAAAUAUAAAGACAAAGAGAA